rnacentral:rRNA from 1 species
AGCGAACGCUGGCGGCAGGCCUAACACAUGCAAGUCGAACGAACUCUUCGGAGUUAGUGGCGGACGGGUGAGUAACACGUGGGAACGUGCCUUUUGGUUCGGAAUAACUCAGGGAAACUUGUGCUAAUACCGAAUGUGCCCUUCGGGGGAAAGAUUUAUCGCCAUUAGAGCGGCCCGCGUCUGAUUAGCUAGUUGGUGAGGUAACGGCUCACCAAGGCGACGAUCAGUAGCUGGUCUGAGAGGAUGACCAGCCACACUGGGACUGAGACACGGCCCAGACUCCUACGGGAGGCAGCAGUGGGGAAUCUUGCGCAAUGGACGAAAGCCUGACGCAGCCAUGCCGCGUGAAUGAUGAAGGUCUUAGGAUUGUAAAAUUCUUUCACCGGGGACGAUAAUGACGGUACCCGGAGAAGAAGCCCCGGCUAACUUCGUG